rnacentral:sRNA from 1 species
UCUCAUGUGGGGUCUGCGUUUCCGGCGU